rnacentral:lncRNA from 12 species
AAAUGGAAGUGAACAUAGCUCUAACUGCCCUGCUCUGGCUUGUGUGACCAUCUUACUCCACCGACUUCUAGACACCGAGUCCAGGGGGCAGGGGGCAUGAUUCUGCCACCCAGAGCAGGUUCAUCAGAUGCAUCCAAGUUUUGCACAUACGUUUGAAGUGAUCUGUCUCCCGCUGAAGCUGUCAUCCUGUGGCAUCAAGACUAGGAAUCGCAACUAUGCUUUGAUCUUCUCCCAAAAGCAAGAGGAUCAGAGCUGGAAGUUGGCAAAAUUCAGCCCUUUGAACAAUAUUGAAGAUGUUUAUUUCAUGAGGAUGUAGCAGAAGACAACAGUGUCUUUUAAACAGGUCAUAGUCAGAGCCCUGGCCUGAGAUUCAUGGGACCCCAACAAACACUUCACAUACAGACUCCAGAAAAGGCACAGUCAAGAAAAAGGGACUGCCAUCUUCUGUUGCAAAGAAUGGAUUUGGGAUCCUACAGCCUGCCGUGGAAUCAAAACCUCCUGUUGACACAGAGGAGGACCCCACAGCGUCAUUUCAAGUGGGUAAUUUCUGGAAACCUCAAGCAGCCUCUCAGCUCCCCUUUGAACGUGGAAGUCUCUCUCUCCAGGGCACAGUCUUGCCAUCCACACAGAAUUUCCUGUGGCUCCUGUGCAAGGACAAGCAUGAAUAUACUUUCCCGACACACCCUCCAAAUUCGACAGAAAUUACUCAAGCGUUGUCAAAGGCACAGUGAUCUAUGCCUUCUCUGAACAGAUACCUCAUGUUAAUUCGGGCAAUGACAAUGAUGGGUCUUCCAUUUCUGUUUUGUGGCUUUAGAAAACAAUUGAUAGGAAUCUGGAAAACUUUGAUCCUUUCUUUUGCUCCCACCUGAGGAAAUGACCCUGAUAAAACAUGUUUUUGUUUGUUUGUUUUUGUUUUUUUGUAGCAUACAGGUGAGGGACACCCCUUCCACCUGGGUGAUGCUCAAUUGAGUAGAUAAAUGAAAAGUGAUCACAACAAAGAAAAGUGGGAAAAAAAGGAGCUUGAAGUGACUCAGGGGAUAGUCCACUCUGAGAUAAGUGAAAAAAUGUUAGUUGGUAUUAAAUGAAACUAUUUUUUUAAUAGAAUUUCCAAGUCCUCCUAUGGCAGUGAGAGAAAACAGAAGAAUCAAAAGAAGCCUUUAUUCAAUGCUUGCUAUAUGUCAACCAAUAUGUUAAGUAAUCUCAUCCAUCUCCACAUAACCUGAAGAACCAGGUCCCUGUUUUAUAGAUUAAGACACUGAGAAAAUUUGCCAAGACAAGUGGAAGGUCCAUAAUCUUAACAUAAUGAUCUGCCACAAGCCCUUACUCUUCAUCACAAUCGUGUUAUCAUGAUCCUUUAGAUUUUAUAAUUUAUUGUACUCACACAAGUCUUGAUUCUCUAAAGCUACCAAAAUUAGGGAGUGUUUCUUCAUACAUGGAGAGGAAAAAGUUUAUUUUCAAUCAUUCACAUGAUACUAACAUGUGUCCAAAAGAUCUGGAUCAAUUGGGUGUGGAUUUCUCCAGAAAACUCUUCCCAGAUUGCCCACAUAUGGAAAUUAUCUCUCCGAGGUCAAUCACAACUCUGAGUGUCUGGAAUACAGACCGUUAGAACAUUAAUCACUGAUGUAAAUAUCCUCUCUCACCUUCCUUCUGCACAGCUCAUACUAACUUCCACUCAGAAAAACCUACUAAAUUUAACAAUUACAAAGAAAUUCUCUUCCCCCUUUCCCUUUUUUGAGAAAGACAUAUGAGCAUGAAAAUCACUAAGCACAAAAUAUAAAGUUUCCUUGGAGAUGAAUUUGUUUUGAAGAAAUGUAAACCUGGUUAGAACUUUAGGAAAAUGUGUGUUAUUUGAUGUGUGACCUUGGCGCAAGUCAGCAUGCUCUCAGGAGCAGAGUGUGCAUCAGCAUCGAUGACUGAUGGGACAGUAGGUGUGAAUGUGGACAACAUCUUAAGCAGGUGACCCCAGUGCAGAGCCACAGGAUGGUUUCUGAGCAAUUCAAAGAGCCAAAGGCACCUCCACACUGUGUCAGGAUGGAAAAGCCACACCAUUCCACUGUGGCCUCUGCUGGUCUCCACCCAGAACGCUAUCAUCACCACCACCAGCAUGAGGAUCUUUUUGCCUAGAAGCUUCUUCACUCAAUUCAACAGUCUUUAAAAUAGUAGCACAAGGAAUUAUAAAAAUAAAAGCAGUUGAUCUUAUUGAGUGCUCA